rnacentral:rRNA from 1 species
GGUAGCGGAGAUAGCACGUUGAAUGCGCCAGUUCCCAAUGAAUCACUUAAGUUAAGCAACGUUGCGAGUGUUUAGUAUGAAGAUGGGUGACCAUGGUUGGUAUACAAAAUUACAAAGAUCGGUGACCA